AGAGUUUGAUCAUGGCUCAGGAUGAACGCUGGCGGCAUGCCUAAGACAUGCAAGUCGAACGAGAUGGCCCAUUGAAGAUUGAGUGCUUGCACAAUUUCUGAUUUGGAUUUUCCAUCUAGUGGCGGACGGGUGAGUAACACGUGGGUGACCUACCUUUGAGUUUGGGACAACUACUGGAAACGGUAGCUAAUACCAAAUAAUAUACAGUUUCGUUUCUGUAUUAAAAGGCGCUUUCAAGCGUCGCUCUUAGAUGGGCCUGCGGCGUAUUAGCUAGUUGGUGAGGUAAUGGCUCACCAAGGCGACGAUGCGUAGCCGGACUGAGAGGUUGAACGGCCACAUUGGGACUGAGACACGGCCCAAACUCCUACGGGAGACAGCAGUUAGGAAUAUUCGUCAAUGGGGGAAACCCUGAACGAGCAAUGCCGCGUGAGUGAUGAAGGUCCUUUGGAUUGUAAAACUCUGUUGUAUGGGAAGAACGACCAGACUAGGAAAUGAGUUUGGAGUGACGGUACCAUGCCAGAAAGCUCCGGCUAACUACGUGCCAGCAGCCGCGGUAAUACGUAGGGAGCGAGCGUUAUCCGGAUUUAUUGGGCGUAAAGGGUGCGUANGCGGCUUGUUAAGUAUGAAAUUAAAGCCCGGGGCUUAACUCCGGUUCGUUUCAUAAACUG
rnacentral:rRNA from 1 species